GUGCUCGCUUCGGCAGCACAUAUACUAAAAUUGGAAAGAUACAGAGAAGAUUAGCAUGGCCCCUGCGCAAGGAUGACAUGCUAACAUAGAAACCAGGUCAAGUGCUGU